rnacentral:rRNA from 1 species
GAUUCAUGAUAACUUCUCGAAUCGCACGGCCUUGCGCCGGCGAUGGUUCAUUCAAAUUUCUUCCCUAUCAACUUUCGAUGUUUGGGUAUUGGCCAAACAUGGUUGCAACGGGUAACGGAGGGUUAGGGCUCGACCCCGGAGAAGGAGCCUGAGAAACGGCUACUACAUCCAAGGAAGGCAGCAGGCGCGCAAAUUACCCAAUCCCGACACGGGGAGGUAGUGACAAUAAAUACUGAUACAGGGCUCUUUUGGGUCUUGUAAUUGGAAUGAGUACAAUUUAAAUCCCUUAACGAGGAACAAUUGGAGGGCAAGUCUGGUGCCAGCAGCCGCGGUAAUUCCAGCUCCAAUAGCGUAUAUUAAAGUUGUUGUGGUUAAAAAGCUCGUAGUUGAACCUUGGGCCUGGCUGGCCGGUCCGCCUCACCGCGUGUACUGGUCCGGCCGGGCCUUUCCCUCUGUGGAACCCCAUGCCCUUCACUGGGUGUGGCGGGGAACCAGGACUUUUAC